rnacentral:rRNA from 1 species
GUCUAGGGCCAUACCAACCUGAACGUGCCAGAUCUUGUCUGAUCUGGGAAGCGAAGCAGGGUCUGGCCUGGUUAGUACUUGGGUGGGAGACUGCCUGGGAAUACCGGGUGCUGUAGGCU